rnacentral:rRNA from 1 species
AGUGAACGCUGGCGGUAGGCCUAACACAUGCAAGUCGAACGGCAGCACAGUAAGAGCUUGCUCUUACGGGUGGCGAGUGGCGGACGGGUGAGGAAUACAUCGGAAUCUACUUUUUCGUGGGGGAUAACGUAGGGAAACUUACGCUAAUACCGCAUACGACCUACGGGUGAAAGCAGGGGAUCUUCGGACCUUGCGCGAUUGAAUGAGCCGAUGUCGGAUUAGCUAGUUGGCGGGGUAAAGGCCCACCAAGGCGACGAUCCGUAGCUGGUCUGAGAGGAUGAUCAGCCACACUGGAACUGAGACACGGUCCAGACUCCUACGGGAGGCAGCAGUGGGGAAUAUUGGACAAUGGGCGCAAGCCUGAUCCAGCCAUACCGCGUGGGUGAAGAAGGCCUUCGGGGUGUAAAGCCCUUUUGUUGGGAAAGAAAAGCAGCAGGUUAAUACCCUGCUGUUCUGACGGUACCCAAAGAAUAAGCACCGGCUAACUUCGUG